GACGAACGCUGGCGGCGUGCUUAACACAUGCAAGUCGAACGGAAAGGCCCUGCUUUUGUUGCUUUCUCGAGUGGCGAACGGGUGAGUAACACGUGAGUAACCUGCCCUUGACUUUGGGAUAACUUCAGGAAACUGGGGCUAAUACCCCAUAGGAUCUCCUGCUGCAUGGUGGGGGUUGGAAAGUUUCGGCGGUUGGGGAUGGACUCGCGGCUUAUGAGCUUGUUGGGGGGGUAGUUGCUUACCAAGGCUUUGACGGGUAGCCUGCCUGAGAGGGUGACCGGCGACCUUAGGACUACGAUACGGACCAGAAUCGAACGGGAGGCAGCAGUGGGGAGUCUUGCACAGUGGGCGGAAGCCUGAGGCAGAAACGCUGCGUGCGGGAUGACGGCUUUCGGGUGGUAAACAGCUUUGGCCGGUGACGUAGCGUGAGUGACGGUAAUGGGUAAAGAAGCACCGGCUAACUACGUG
rnacentral:rRNA from 1 species